GAACCUGCGGGAGGAUCAUUCCAUUAGCGCGCGAUUCAUUGGCUCUCGUCCUGCGUAAGCAGCGUAAUAAAGGUUUUUUAGCUUUGGAGGUGUCGGGUGUUGGUCCGAGGAAGGACGCAGUUACAAGCGAUAUUCAGCCUGAAUCGCAAAACUGCGGAUGGUCGGGUGUCUGAAUGCUCAAAGCCGGAGCUACUGGUCACGCUCUAACACACCCAUUCGGUGUCUCACUUCCGCGUGAUGUGAGAAUUCCAAAAUAU
rnacentral:misc_RNA from 1 species